AUUGAACGCUGGCGGCAGGCCUAACACAUGCAAGUCGAGCGGAUGAAGGGAGCUUGCUCCUGGAUUCAGCGGCGGACGGGUGAGUAAUGCCUAGGAAUCUGCCUGGUAUUGGGGGAUAACGUCCGGAAACGGGCGCUAAUACCGCAUACGUCCUGAGGGAGAAAGUGGGGGAUCUUCGGACCUCCCGCUAUCAUAUGAGCCUAGGUCGGAUUAGCUAGUUGGUGGGGUAAAGGCCUACCAAGGCGACGAUCCGUAACUGGUCUGAGAGGAUGAUCAGUCACACUGGAACUGAGACACGGUCCAGACUCCUACGGGAGGCAGCAGUGGGGAAUAUUGGACAAUGGGCGAAAGCCUGAUCCAGCCAUGCCGCGUGUGUGAAGAAGGUCUUCGGAUUGUAAAGCACUUUAAGUUGGGAGGAAGGGAAGUAAGUUAAUACCUUGCUGUUUUGACGUUACCAACAGAAUAAGCACCGGCUAACUUCGUG
rnacentral:rRNA from 1 species